AUUGAACGCUGGCGGCAGGCCUAACACAUGCAAGUCGAACGGUAACAUGAGAAAGCUUGCUUUCUUGAUGACGAGUGGCGGACGGGUGAGUAAUGUAUGGGGAUCUGCCUGAUGGAGGGGGAUAACUACUGGAAACGGUAGCUAAUACCGCGUAAUGUCGCAAGACCAAAGUGGGGGACCUUCGGGCCUCACGCCAUCAGAUGAACCCAUAUGGGAUUAGCUAGUAGGUGGGGUAAAGGCUCACCUAGGCGACGAUCUCUAACUGGUCUGAGAGGAUGACCAGUCACACUGGGACUGAGACACGGCCCAGACUCCUACGGGAGGCAGCAGUGGGGGAUAUUGCACAAUGGGGGAAACCCUGAUGCAGCGACGCCGCGUGAACGAUGACGGUCUUCGGAUUGUAAAAGUUCUGUCAACGGGGACGAUAAUGACGGUACCGUGGAGGAAGCCACGGCUAACUACGUGCCA
rnacentral:rRNA from 1 species